CAUGCGCACCUGUUGCCGGCGCUGCUGCUGGAAGCAAGGAGAAGAUGGAGGAAGCAGGAGGGAAGGAGGCACCUGCUCGGUUCCAAAGGGGUGGUCUGAGCAUGCGCAAAAGAGGGGUUUUUAAGGGAGUGAAAUUACCUGCUGGGCUGGAUUCCAGAGGGAGGCGCAUGCGCAGUGGCGUUUUAACGUGAAGGGGCUCAGUUGUGUCCUCCUUUUCCAGGACAAGUCUACAUUCAUCCCAGGAUUCUUUUCCAGGAAUACCCAAGGGACAUGGCCAGUAGCCUUGCUGACUAUGGGUUCCUCGGACUGUUAAAAAAAGGGAGACCACUUGAAGAUGGCUAUUCCAAUUUGGACAAUACUGUGUCUGGAACUGAGAGUCAGAAACCAGAAGCCAUGAGGCAAUUAUAAGAGAUAGUAGGCCUGAAGAUCACAUUAGGAUGCAGGAUUAAGCCACAAGUUAACAGAAUGAAGAACAUCAGGAAAGAAAACAGGAGGUAGGAGUGAAGUGCAUAUCACAACCGAAAACAAACCAAGAAGUAGGAGCAACAAGCAAAAUGCCAAACAAAAAGGUCUAGGGG